CCUGGGGACGGCCGGAGAGAGUCAGACACAGACAGACAGAGAGUUCUGCAUCUUGAAUGCCAGAAAUGGGGGCCUAGCAGGCUGGAAAGUGACCCCCAAAAAUACAAAGUCGUCAUUCCUGGAAGCUGUGAACCUUCCCUCAUUUGGAAAAAGAGCCCCUAUAGAUUUAAGUUAAGGAUCGUAACACAGGGAAGAUUUAUCCUGAAGUAUUCGGGUGGGUCCUAUAUGUCUCCACAGCGACCUUCCGAGAGGGAGGCAGAGGGAGAUUUGACCACAACAGGAGGAGAGCCCAGUGACCGUGAAGGCAGAGAUCGGGGCAAUGUGGCCACGGCCGGGGAAAGCCAGCGGCCACCGGAAGGCAAGGACCGGCUGCCCCCCCGCCGGCCUCCGGAGGAAGCAGGGCCCUGCCGCACCGGGAUCCGGGCCAGGCGAGGCCGAUCCGGAGCCCUGGCUCCGAAGGGGAGAGAACGCAUUUCUGCGGCUCUGAGCCACCAGGUGCGCGAUCGUCUGUUACAGCGGCCGCGGGAAACCGGAACAGAUCUGACAAUCAGGAGGUGGAGCGUCGCCAUAAGAAACUCGCACAAAUGUGGAGAUGGCCUUGGAACCGGGCAACGGGCGGAGACCGGAAGGACGCUGGGGACGCGAGGGACAACGUCCGAGGGGCCUUGAACAGACUGCGGAAGUACAAGGAGGAAGGGGCACAACAGCUUUCAAAAAGCACCAACCCAGAAUUGAACACCCAGCAGACGCAUGGCUCAGUCAGACGUUCUCGGACGAAAGAAAACGGAGGGAAUCUGUCACCCACAGGACUGCCCUACGAGGGUGGAUAAAGGUCGUUCUCUAAGCAGGAGCGAAGUGAUGGACGGUGGAAAGGUUGAACAGCAGAAGGAAGGAAGAAUGACAGAACGGGUAAACGGAACUCUGGAAAAAUGUUCAAGUCACCUGGAAAGGCAGGAAAAGAAAAACCUUAAAACGGAAAGAUGUGAUGGCGGACUUAAGUCCUAACAUCAAAACUCACCUGAAAUAUGGUGUCGUAAAUACACCAGUUUGAAAAGACACAGGUUUUGCAGAGUGGAUGGAAAGAGUAAGACCCGGUUAUUCAUUGUCUACAAAAUCCUCGCUUCCAACGAGGGAGGCAAGCUGAGAGUGACCAACCACUUGGCAGCAAAGGGGGGGGACCUGCCGAUACACACAACAACCCAGAUGGACGGCGAAGGGAUCGCGCCGGGCGGAAAGUGACACGGUCGCUUCGGUCGGAUUCCUCAGGUGACGUGCUCGAAGUGGCAAGGUUGCAGGCAUGAAGAACAGACUCGUGGCUGCCGGGGGCUCAGGGCGAUGGGGGCAGAGGACGCAGGGGCAGGACCAAGCUCGGAACCCGGGGAGCUCCCGCGGCAUCUUUGAUGGUUCCGGAGUAAGAAGGGUAAGGAGCCCCCGCGUGGUGCAGGCUCAAAGCAGCACGCGACAGACGCGGGCCAGCCCGCCGGGCACCUGGACGACGCUACGGGAGAACCCGCGCCCGGGACGCCCCACUCUGGGUUCUGCUUUCCCCGCCACAGCACCUCAGCACCUCCUUCCCACUGUGACCUCCCCUCUCGUGUCCUUCAGGUUCGGGGACUGAGACCUUUUCACUCCUUUCCUGCCAUUCACUGGGGCUUCGGGAGAGAGAGGAGAUAAGUGUGUUCUCUACACCUCCUUACAUCGGAAAUUGUGAAUUUUUAGGUUCUGACAUCUCGUUAGUAUCAAGUGACCUGAAGGACGAGAGACAGAUGAGACAAGCAAGCAGUCCGAGGCCAGGCUCCGUUCGUGACGGGGAGGACCUUCCCACCGUCUCCUCCUGGACCGCACUCUGCUCUCACAAGGGAGCACGCCCUCUCCAUCCGCUGGAGGGACCCCUUUGAUGGGGAACACCCUGUGCAGGACACAGUCCCCCGCAGGCCUGGGACCACUGUCUCUGGAGGGGCUGCUCACUAGGCUGGGCUUUCAGAACGGUCUGCAUUCCCCAACCCACUCAUCCCAGACUGUGCAGAGGACACGAUUUGUGCUCAACACCUGCUUUCCCUGGGCGUCUGGAAUGUGGGGGGUGCUAGGCAGAGGUGCCGAUGUCACCAGCCCGGGACUAACCCCGGGCGCUGAGCCCCUAACAGCUUCGCAGGACAGAAGCCCGGCACACAGCUGCAUUCUCCCCUGCUGGCAUGCCCCUGGGGAGGGAGACGGGGGACAGAGGUCGCAAGCCUGCACACGGAGUCUCGGACCCGCCCGUGUGCUUUCCCCGUUGAGCCUGCUGGGCGUCCCUGCGCUGUGACUGCUGUCCUAGAACACGUACGGCGACCCCAAGGACCCCCAGAAACAAGUCUACACCGCCGUCUCUGACUCGAAUCAGAACCCCAUCUCUCUGGGGUCUGCCGGCCCCCGGGGAGCACCUUCCUUUGCUUUCCUUCUGGUUCCACGUGGGGAGCACAAGGGGGCCCAUGAGCAUCAGGGCUGUGGGCACACUGCCCACCUCCACGCCAGGCCCCCGCCACCAGGAUCCCAGCCGCUCCGCACACCCCGCUCUUGCCACGUGGGGUCCCAAAUCUUUGAGAAGGAAAACAGGAGGCAAGGAGAUGCCCUGUUCUUCCAUGAGGGAGCACCAGAAAACAAUCUGCGAGCCACUGGUGCUUCCAGACAAAGACCCAGGAACCGGCCGCCCCCAGGACGUCCAACACGCCUGGUGAGUUCCCGGGCAGCAGAUGACCCACUGCUGAAGCGCCCACUCGGAUGCACCUCGCCAAGCUCCCCGCCUUCCCUGUGUUUCCUGCCGUCCCCGGGACCUCCGGGCACCUGCUUCAUCUCUCCAGCUAUAAACCCCAUCCCCGGCUUCCAUCAGGUUCUGAAACAUAAUUUAGGAAACUGCUUUAGGUCAUAAGACGCAGCUAAUCAGGACACCGGUACUUCAUUCUAGUUGCCGUUAACCAAUCACACGGUACCCUACAAGAAAAUGUCUCUGGGUGCCCCCACCUUUCCGGCCAUCACUGGGUCCCGUGCUUCCCAGCCCUCAAUGUAACAUCCGAGCGACAGCCCCCUGUAGCAGCCCCUUGCGUCAAACCUGAUGCUAGUAAACAUGCUCCUGGAAAUUUCCAGAACCAAAGGCAUCCUGAGCAGUAUUUCUUCAAAGCAGGAAAGGGGCACUGAAGGGGUAGGAAGCCCCGUUUCAGCCUCAAAUCCCAGCUGAGUCCCCCGGCCCUCGCUGACCCUUGUCAGCAUCCUCCACUGGGUCUUAGCUCAGAGGAAAGAAGGGGCCCGGGGUCGGGUGGGUGGCGGCUCCGGGCCCCGCGAGCCGGAGACCAGACUGCUGCGUAAGUCUUCGGAUCGACUUUGAAGCCAGCGAGUCCUGCACGGGCCGUCCGGGUGACACUCAUUCCCUCGGAGGCUAUUUUCAUAAGCUUCCUGUAAACUAACGAAGACUGGAAACCUCGACGCAAAACGCUCUCUGUACGUCGUCAGAGCGAGCCGCGUGGCUGGGAAGCUCCGAUGACGCACCGAGUACGUUGGCACUCCCUGCCAAGCUGCCAGCUGGAACAUGCUGGCAACCCUCUCUGGCUCAAGGGUCUGCUCCCAGGACGGAGAAAUGAGGACGCGGCCCUGACGCGGAGCCACGCCGGAGGCGUGAACCCCAGCCCCUCAGUGACGACGGCGGGCAGAUCACAGGGCCCCGGGAACGGCCUCGUCGGCGGUGAUCCCUCCUGCCUGAGCCGCGGCCUAAUCUCUCUGCCUUCCCCACGCGGGCUCCUCCCCCCAGGUCAUUCGACACGCGGGGGCUGGAUGCUAUUCGUCCACCGUGGGAAGCGGAAGACGGAUUCUGCCGCCACGAAGCCACACGAUCUCGGGGCGCGAGGGACUGGUAAAAAGACAGAUAGGUGGAGCGUGUUGGGGAGAGAGGUUACUUCCCCGUGUGGUCAGGGAGGGCCGCACAGCAGAGCCGGCAUCCGCCACAAGAGCUCAGUAGGCGACAAGGAAGGCGGAGGAGAAAGAGCGUGGCCGGUCGGUGGCACAGCACGUCUCGGGCGCGGCUGGGGGGGAGGCGCUGACACAAAUCAUACUCCUCAAGGAACGGCGAGGACGUGCCACACCUCCCAGGAGGUUCCUCCGAACCUGCCCGCAGCGCCCCCAAGCUCCCGGGCGGCCCUGCUGGGCAGCCAGCGGCCCAGGAGGGAAACGUCCAGCCGUGUGGAGGCGUAGAGGCCACCGCUGCCCGCGGAGGUGGUCUUGGCCCCACAAGUAGGAGAGGCAAGGUGGGGGGCGGUUCCUGAGGGUGAGGUGGCCCGGUCUGCAUUUGGCACCGACCUCAGCGAGGGGCCCAGGCUGGGCGUUCUCCCUGAGUCCCUGUAGAGCCCCCACGGCACUGUGACACCCUCUACUCCAGAGGGAAAUGAACAUUCUAGAGGCAUGCAACGUGGCGCCCAAAUGAGCACGUUCAAGUCCAAGUGCCCCUGCGGAGCGGUCCCCUGAUGACCCUGGAUGAGUCACCUAAGCUCUCUGCACCCCACCUGCAGGACGCAUGAGGCAAAGCUGCUCGCCCACAGACAGCUGGACGGGCACGUGGGGCUGCCGCAAGCGUCCGAGGCCACGCGGACACGGGCUGGGCCACUGAGGCCACACAGACACACAGACAAGGGACUGUGCCCCCCGAGGCCACACAGACACGGGACUGGGCCCCCCGAGGCCACGCGGACACAGACUGGGCCCACUGAGGCCACACACACACACAGGACUGGGCCCCCCAAACCACACAGAUACAGACACACACACACACACACACACACACACACACACAGCACUGGGCCCCCCAAGGCCACACAGAUACAGACACACACACACACACACACACACACACACACACACACACACACGGGACUGGGCCCGCGAGGCCACGAAGACAGGACUGGGCUCGCUGAAGCCAUGCAGACACGGGCUGUGCCUGCCCAGGCCACACAUGCACGGACACAACACACACAGACACACACACAUACCAACGGAGCCCGCCGAGGCCCCGGCCCGUGGGAACAGGGGGAGGGGUGGCCACACUAACAGGCCCCUUACCCAGCGUCAGACAGUUUGGAGCUCUCCACAAAGUACAUGCAUUCCUUCUUCUUGAUAUUUUCGGGGAUCCACGAACUGAGACUUUCUUGCUGAGGAUAAAAAGGGCGCUUUGAGAUCCCCGGGCAGUCAUAGCAACACUGUUCGGGACAGCAAACCCUCCGCCACUCCUAGAUACGCCUGGGCUCCCUGUCGAGCUACACGGGACUUUUCCAGAAGGCGUGAGCGGGGCGGGGGUGCCCGGCCCCGGCUCUCAGGUGUGGGAGGAACAGCCCUGUGGGACCUCUUCCUCCUUUGCCCUACUUAAGUAGCACGGCACUUUUCAGUUUCUCUGUCAAUGCUGCCUUCCUCGGGAAUAAAGCGGUGCGGCGGGUAGGGGUGUGGACACCUGCCUCUGUCCUGACGAGACGGCAGGCCAACGCCCUCCCGCCACCUGACCAGGGGCCGAGGGAGUCAAACAUGCCCUCAACAGUCUUGUCGCGGGCCUUGGGGAAUCUAGCCCAGGACGUCGGUGGUGUUCAGGGCCCUCCAGUGACACUGGAGACGUGAAGUCAUCGCACAGUGAGGUCAGGGGUGACGGCUUCCAGCGAGUCUGCCCGGGACGGGGUUGCAGUGCUUGCCUAACGCCCUCCCAACCAGACCAAGAACAGGAAGGGGCGUGCGAUGCAAGGAGGUGGCGGACCUGGCCACUGACCAUUUUCUCCAGGUCCCCUUUCCCCGGCUCAGCCGAGCCUCUGCCCAAGCAAGAAACACACCCAUCCCUGGGUGGUCGCCGUGCCCCACCAGGGCUCUGGGGGACCCGGCGGAGGGGGGCCCUGCUGGCCACCGGAAGCCUACC